CCUACGGGUGGCAGCAGUGGGGAAUAUUGCACAAUGGGGGAAACCCUGAUCCAGCGACGCCGCGUGAGCGAUGAAGUAUUUCGGUAUGUAAAGCUCUAUCAGCAGGGAAGAAAAUGACGGUACCCGACUAAGAAGCCCCGGCUAACUACGUGCCAGCAGCCGCGGUAAUACGUAGGGGGCAAGCGUUAUCCGGAUUUACUGGGUGUAAAGGGGGCGUAGACGGUCCUGCAAGUCAGAUGGGAAAGCCCGGGGCUCAAACCCGGGACUGCAUUUGGAACUGUAAGGCUUGAGUGUAGGAGAGGUAAGCGGAAUGCCUGGUGUAGCGGGGAAAUGCGUAGAUAUUAGGGGGAAAACCAGUGGCGAAGGCGGACUACCGG
rnacentral:rRNA from 1 species